CUUUUAUGUGUGCUGGUGACUCACCCAGAGCAGAGGCACAGUGAAGGUCACACCAGAGACAAAGUACUUUGAAAUGUAGGCUAAGUCAUACAAAAAGAACUGCAAAAUCCAAAGACCACAAGACUUUUUCCACUGAGAGGAUAAUGAAUGUGCAGAAGUACACCUAAAGAAUGGUGCAGAACCAAGCAGUGUGGUAUAAUUGAACAUACAUUGGUACUAGCCUGCAAGAAUAGAAGUGAGCACAAAUUCUCCCCUCCCGACAGAAGAAGCCCACAGAAUGAGAGAGAGAGAUCUGAUAAAAUUCCAGCCCUACUGAAAUGGAUGGAAAUUUUGCCACUGACUGUUCAACAAAGGACUCUUCCCUGCAGACCUAUUAGGAAUUUUUAAUUGGAUAUAAUGUAUGCUGAGAAAGAUGAUAAUACAAUGGGGAAAAUUUGGUGCUUAGAUAAAUGAGCCACUGAUACUGCAUCUGUUAAAAUGUGUUUCACCAAGGGGCCACUUCUCCAGUAAGGACAGAGAAAUGUGCAAAGGAAAGGAGCAAAAAGAGCCCAUUUCCUGCCCAUUUGGCUGUGUUUUAUGCCAAGAAGGUCAUAGCGCUGCAUGAGUACUUGUGGCUCUUCUUCAAAGGCUCUGCUUCAAUUCAGACAAUCAAAGCUGAUGAGGACUCACCCUAAAGUGCACUUCUGUUUUCUAACAUAGCCUCUCUGGAAAAUAUGAUGUUACAAUAUUGGCCAGUCAGUUGGUCUGUCAUUUUUGGUUGGCCUCUUCUGUUGUAACACGAUGACACUGGGUUUUUUUCUUUGUUUUUCAUCAGCUGUCGAGAGAUACAAAUGCUGACUUCCUCCUAAACCUUUGGAUCCCACUGGAAUUUCCCAGUGCUGGGUCUACUUACUCCACAUUUGAAGCUUCCUUCCUGGCAGUUUUCAGCAUCCUCUGUAGAGUUACACCUCUGGGUUAUUGGUAUGCAUUUCUCUUGCAGCCUUCACUGGAUAUCUGACUUCCUCACAAACAUAAACAGUCAUUUCACAGUAACCCUGUUAGAAAAGCAAGAAUUAUCACUUUUACUUAGAUUACAAAUGCAGGGGCUUUCACAGUGACCACAAACAUGCAGCUGUCGAAGACAGAUUGACUUUCCUGUAGGGAAUACACUGUGUUCUUGUUCAGAGGAGAUGAAUCUUUCCUGAGCGGGUGGAAGUUCCUCCACUGACAUGGGGUGCAGCAGAAGCUACUGGGGUCCAUCCCUGAAGAAGUGCAUUCACUAAUUCAGGUGACUGCUGAAAAAGGAUAUUCCCUUGUUUUGGCUGGAAAGAUUCAAGUGGUGCUUUAAACCAAGACAUUCACAGUGCCUUAAUGGAUCAGAGAUACUGUUCAUACUCUUAAUCUCUUAAUCUCCUGACAAUGCAUUAUAUCAUUAAUUAAUCUUUAUGAGUCUGACUUUGUGGUUCCUGCAUAGCAUUUGACAAUGCUAUUUCUGAUGGCUAGACAUGUAAAGAGUGACCACUCACAGGCAGAGAUUUAUGCGGCUCUGAGAAAGACAUUUCUAAGGAAACCAGUCUUUAUAUCUUCAUGGGCAUACUGGCUCCAGGGGUUGCAAAUCUUUCCUAUAUACCAUAACUCAAGGUUGAACAACCAUUACUUAACUUAAUGGUACAGAAUCUGCAACAAGAACGUUUUCAACAUUCAUGUCAGGCCCAAACAUAAGUAAUGUUUUAUGAAUUUGAGUUUAUUUUGCUCUUCAGCAACUGACUAUUAGGCAUUAGCUGGAGGCAUCAAGGAUCUGAUUUCUGCCCCUAGUUAUGUUCCUGCAAAACUGCGCCACUGACCCUGAGUCCAACAUCCCACCUCAUAUCUCCUCUCUUGGCUCACUGCUGGUUGCAUAUUGAGUUUGAAUGAGUGUAAUUCGGUGACCAUUUUCUGAUUUGUGGUGGGACUUUGGGACACAUCUGUUAUAAGCAAGAAGACUUUCUAUAUCCUCUGGGAAUUUUUGGAAAUUUUUACUCUUGUUCCUGCAGAUUGGUAAAAGUCUGCUUCCAAAAAGCAAUGUAUUUGCUUAUUCAAAACACAGAGAGCAGAAGCUUUAAAAGCAAGGGAAGAGCUCCAGCACUCUUUAAUCCAGUGAGUUUGGUGUGUGCCAGCAGUCAUGUGUAAUCGUCCUCAAACAGACGCAUGCACCAUUGCUGCAAACUCCCUCAGAAAACGUCCCUCAACAAAUCCUUCCUCAGAGCUGUCUCUUCAACCUCCUCCCACAUAUGGUAGUGCACAGAGUUAACUUGUGAGAACUCAGUUGGUUGUCUGUGUGCUCAGAAGAUUAUGAAGAGGAUAAAGUGGGUUUUACUUAUUCCCUCUGAUUUAAUACUUAUUGUAUCAGCACUGCUUUCAUUUAGUAUUCUUAUAUUGGUAAAAUGUGGGCUUUCAUUGCAAGAUUUACUUCUUAGCAAUAAAAACCUGAUAUAAACCAGA